UCACUCCCCCACUGUGCCUGUGUGAAGACUCUGGGAGCAGAGCUCCCUGCCAUCCCUGAAGAUCACAGCAAUGCCUGUCCCCUGAAGCGCCGCCUGGAGUCCCCAGAGUCUGCGUUCCGAGUAUCAGAAAGGCUGAAUCGGAGCUGCUCCCCACUCUUCUGUUUCCCAAGACUGCAGGAGCUCCAGGAAGCAGGGGUGUAACAGCCGUGUCCACAGCUCACAGCAGCAGAGGAGGCCCGGCGGCAUCAGGAGUCCAGGAUCCUGAGUCCUGGUCUCGAGCUCUUGCUGUCCCCGAGCAACCUGAGAACUCCUUCAUCACAAGGACAGCCCGCGCUUCAAGCUAGGGAGGUGGCCUGGCCUCAAUAGAGACACGAAGCCCAGCGGGUGUGCCUGUUCUCAGUCGGAGUAGAGUGAGCAGCAGCCACUGCUUCCUCUGCAUCCUCUUCCUGCUCUGCUCGACUCCAAGGCUCCCCACCAAAGGGGCCUCAGGUUUCUCAGGAUAUCUUCUCCCCUCCACUGUCAUGGCCCUCAGACAAAGGAGCUCAACCCGUCAGGGUGUGAACAGGGCUCGUGAGGCACGUCCACGUGCCUCGCAGGAGCAAGAAGCUCCUCUGCCCCUGCCCAUUGAUGUCCUACAUAUGAAAAUAGAUGAAAUGGUGGAGUUCCUGCUAUACAAGUAUAGCAAUAAGGAGCUGACCACCAGGGCAGAAAUGCUGCACAGUUUCAUGAAGGAUCACAAGGAGCACUUCACUCUGAUCUUUACCAAAGUCUGUGAUUGCUUGUACAUGGUCUUUGGCAUUGAUGUGAAGGAAUUGGAUCCACCUGGGCACAUAUAUUCCCUGGUCCCUGUCCUGGGUCUCACCUAUAAUGAGAUAGUGGGUGAAGACCACAGCAUUGCCAAAACCGGCCUCUUGGUAAUGAUUAUCAGCAUCAUCUUCAGAAGGGGUAACCGUGCCAGUGAGGAGACUGUGUGGCUCACUCUUAAUAGAAUGCAGGUGUUUGAUGGGGUAGAGCACUAUGUCUAUGGGGAGCCCAGGAAAUUUAUCACUGAGGAUUUGGUUCAGGAAGGAUAUGUAGUGUAUCAUCAGAUACCUGACAGCAAUCCUGCUCGCUAUGAGUUUCUGUGGGGUCCAAGGACCUAUGCUGAAACCACCAAGAUGAAAGUCCUGGAGCAUUUGGCCAAGGUCAAUAAUCGAGACCCUUGGUCCUAUCCAAGUCUGUAUGAGGAUGCUUUAAGAGAGCAGCAAGAGGCUGCCCAUGGACGACGUAUGGGCUGCUAAGGGUGCAAAGUGUAGACAGGGGCGGGACAUGUUCACAAGCCAUGUCACCUACUCAGCCUCUGUCCAUGUGCAGUGCUGCCCAUUCUGUAGUCUGUGUUAGAGGAGAGUAGCCUGCUCAGUAGG